UCAAACUUGGUCAUUUAGAGGAAGUAAAAGUCGUAACAAGGUUUCCGUAGGUGAACCUGCGGAAGGAUCAUUAAUGAGUGGGUGCAUUGAGCACUUGAACACUGACACUGCGAACCGGGAUGUUUAGCAGCGGGACGGGGUGGGGUGUGAGUGUGGGUAGCAAUCUGCAAUCUGCAAUCUGCAACCGCGACUCCAAUCCCGCCCGCUGCUCCAAUCAACACCAACUUACACCACAUCACAACACCACAACACCACAUCAACCAACCACAACUUUUAGCAAUGGAUCUCUAGGCUCCCGCAUCGAUGAAGAACGCAGC
rnacentral:misc_RNA from 1 species